rnacentral:lncRNA from 10 species
UACAGGCUUCUGGACUUUUUGAAUUCUGAAACCAAAAGAAGAAUAAGUCGAAGAAAUUUUACUUUGUGGGACGAAAUAUUUUCCGGUCUGGCUGAGAUGAAGAGGAACGAGGGACAUUGCCCGUUUGAAAUCUCAACUCUACUACACAGAAUCAGUAACAGCCAGGAGCCAUAUUGCCUGACUGUCCCCACCACCCACCCACACACACACCUGGUC